rnacentral:rRNA from 1 species
AACAACCGCCCCAUUGCCGGGUGGUUCCGCUGCUGCCCAUCGGCCAGACUCUCCUACUGGCCGGUGUGACCUUGACUCUGUGCCAGGUCUGUGGAUGCCCACCGUCGUCAGCUCUUAGUAAGUGUUACCCGCUUUCGGACUACCACACUGCGGCGCACCUCCUACUUCCAGAAGCCUAACAUUUGAGGACAGUACUCUCUCAUUUCGGCCCCCUCCUUUACGGGCGGCCAAACUCUCAUAGAGUUCUCCUUCUCUGCCGAUUGAGACACGGUCGUCGGCGCCAUUAUGUCUCCAGAGUUCGCAACAAGCCUUAGUGACCCGCAUUUCCCACGCAUCCGCCGCGCCUUUCAGCCCCCACUUUAGGGCCCCGAGUUGGGGCCUUGACGGAAGCUAUGAGGGCGCGAGCUCACGACCUCCCCUCAGGCCUUAAGUGCCACCUCGUCACUUUACGCACCUAUAGCACUCCUUGUGAUCACCGCUUCCGCCCUGAGACCUGUCAGUGACUGCGACUCCGUGCUCCCGGUCCCCUCGUUUGCCCUAAUCUAUGGGGCCAUCAGGACCGUCAUUUGCCACGUGCGAACCACACCCCCUUUAGCUGGAGGAGGCACGGCUUCGAUUGCGCUAUUCGCACGGCG